UUUGCAGAGUCCCACAUCGCUAAGACCUGAAAGAAUGAUUGAGGAAGCAGAGUAUAACUGAAGAUGUGGACAGUCUGUGAAAAUUACUUACCUGGACGGGGUCAACUUGUGAUCAAUAAGACGAGUGGCCUAGGCUAGUGACCUCCAUUGCACAUAACGGAGGGGUGCUUAGCUUAAGGUCUCCCCAAGUGGGAGAGCCUGCGUCAUUAUUUGUGGCAGAGGGGGCCUGCGUUCGCGCGGUCCCUACCAUUCUUUUUACAUGAAACCUUUGUUAAAUAAAGCUGUAAAAGAAUGAGGUUCUAACCGAGGCGCGUCUAUUGCUGGUUGAAAACUAUUUCCAAACCCCCUCCUAGGCCUAAGCUUGUCUUGGGCCUUCGAGAAUUUCUGGAAGGGCUCCCUUUGGGGUAAAGCCCUACAAUUUUCAGUUCAAUUUUUAGUUGUGGCAUUGUGUCUCUCUUUCUCGAAGGGCUCAGUGAAUUUGUGGAAGACACUCUUUUGCAUUGGAGACGGUGCAGCCGGUUUGAUCGCAUCGA